AGGUUGGUGAUUGUAUUGGCAAUUUGUUUGGUUGAUGGUAAAAUUUGAGGGGAAAAGGAAAGAAAGAUUAAACUUUGCAUUUUUCAUGUUUUAGUAGUUUCUAUAGCAGUCAUAAAUGAGGUGACAAUGCUAUGGAUAUGCGAGAGUAGCGAUAGGAACAUAGGAAUAGAAUCAGUCUAUAGCUUAUUUCAGAAAAUGCAUUUAUCUUUUGUGGUAUUUAUGCAUUCUUGUUAGGUUUUAAUUCUUAUGGUGGAUUAUUUUCUGGCAUGCUGAGUGAGUGCUCUGCUGGUAGUUAUUGAAUUUAGAUGUUGUUCAUUGGUUGCAGCUGGUGGAACAGAAGAGUAAAGGAUUAUUGUUUGAAUAGAGAGGGAAGUUUGCUUGAGCUAAUUUGAGUUGUAUUUACUGUGGAAUGGACGAUGAAAAUGAUUUUACCUUUUGCCAGGUGGGUGUUACGGCCCAAGAUGGUAUCGAGGCAAAGAAGCUUGCUUCGGAUAUCGAUGGUAUGGCUAUAAAGGAUGAGUCCUCAAAUGGCACCAAUGGAAGCGAAAAUAGUGGUAGCCUUUGGAAAGAUAGAUUGCCAAAUAAUGCUUCUUCCAAGGAGGAAACUGUACGAUCUUUGUCCUUUAAUGUUAUUGAUACAGUAUCUCUAAAAAAAUCUAGUGAUUUGCCCAGACAAGUAGCAUCUACAGAUGUUGGAACUUCUGUUACAAAUUCGCAAAAACAAAAACCUGCUGCUAGGAAGCCUGCAGCUCGAGCAAAGGUUCCCUUUGAGAAGGGCUAUAGCCAAAUGGACUGGCUUAAGCUUACUCAAACCCAUCCUGAUCUUGCAGGUACUUAGUUACAGUUUUGUUGAUGAUCUUUCAUUAUUGAAUGUUUAACUUAUUGUUGCUUUGAUUCACAUAUAUUUUGCAACUCUUAUUAUUUUUUCCUUUUAUAAUCUUUUCUUUUUCUAUUACUGAAGCAUCAACAUUUUGUUUCUGUUCUAAGGAAAGUCUUGAACUUUGAUCUUUAGCUUGAUGGGUUGAAAUCUAGUAAAAUUCUUUUGGCUAUUGCAAAUGGUGUGAAAAAUCACGUGAAAAGCAUGCUCACACUUAGAGACUCUCCUCAGCCUCUAUUAAAUUGCCUUGGAUAUUAAUGAACAGAGUCCUUACAGAAUGCUGAUAGAUGAUAUUAUGAUAACUUGUUUAGUGGAAGUGUGAAAAAUCUAGUUCAUAUCAUUGUUGGAACAUGAAAAUAUGACUAUUUGUUUUAUAUUCAGGCUUUGAAUUUAUGUUGUCAACAUGUGUGCUUGCUUUUGCCUAUUUGCUUCCAUUUUCUAUGCAUGGCAAUGCAUACACGGUGAUGGUACACAUCCCAUUUUAUCUCAACUACUAAGAAAAAAAUUUAACAGAUGAAAGUUUGUACUGUACUGAGUAACUAUAAAAUUUGCCAAGUAUACAGUUUUGAAGGUCCCUUUGUGUGCUUAUAAUGACAUCCUAUAGUGUGAAUGGGUUAUAGAAUUUUUAAUAAUGCAUGCACUUGAAAAUUUCAUUUGUUUUUUUUGUUUGCUUGUUUGACUAGUUUCUAAAGUUUCAUUGUGCUUUCUAAUUUUUAUGAGUACAGGGCUGCUUUCCUAAUUCCUCAUUGUGUGAACUGUAUUGAUUUCUGUACUGGACAUUGUAAACAAGUAGAUUAAUAAUUGAUUGCAAUGUCAUUCAAUCGGCAAGUGGUAUUAUUCUACUUUUGCUCCGUGACUCUAACUUGUGUUUCAGGACUGAAGGGACAGUCAAAUAAGAGGCUUAUUUCAAUGAAUGAAGUUAAACAACACCAAAAUGAAGGUUCCAUGUGGACUGUUCUAAAAGGCCGUGUGUACAAUUUGUCUCCAUACAUGAAGUUUCAUCCUGGAGGUAUGAAUGUAAUAUUUUGCUGAUGCAUUUUCAGAUAUCUGGUAGAGCAAAAUUUGUGCAGUUUAAUAAAUUUUGUAUCAAUGGGUGUAAUGGUCAUUUCUGUAUGCUUUUGUGUAUGGUCCGCAAUAAGUUGAUUAGUGGUGCAUGGGCAACUAAGUGUGUGUUUCAUGCCACAAGUGAACUACGAAAAGAUACUUCAGUCCUGUGAGCAUCAUUUAUUCCAAGAGCUACUGCUAGUACAAUUAGAUUUGUUUCAUGCUAAGGCUAUAAACUUGCUGCCAGGUUUAAUGGCUUGAUUUGAGAAAUAUCUGUUUACAGGUGUUGAUAUGCUAAUGAAGGCUGUGGGAAAAGAUUGUACAUCUUUAUUUAGUAUCCUUUUCUGGGUUUGCCUUUGAUAUAUGUUUCUGGAGGUCAUAAUUAAAUCUGUUUAUUAGAUCCAUUAAUUAACAUUAAGUUACAUGCACAUCAAUAGGUCUUUCUCAUGUCAUGGUGAUAUGAAGAACGAAAAUGUAUGAUGAUCAAAGAUGAAAUUAUAUGCUCACCUAGGUGGUAGUUUUAUUUUUGAGGCUAUUUUUGGGUGAGAGGCCCCAAAAGAUGUAGUCAUAUUUUUGUCCCAUCAACAAACUUAGCCAUGGUGAAAACCAGAUCCCUUGGUAGGACUACCGUCAAUGAAUUAGCACCUGCUUGAGUAUUUAGCCUGAAUCUCCACACUCUGAGAUUUUGCUUUUAAAACUUUAAGGCAGAGAGAGAAAGAGAGAGAGAACAAAAGAAAACAAAUCGUUUUCUUUUUCACCCCUUCUAAAAUUAUUGAAAUUCAUAGGAUAAAUUGCAAUCCUUAGCUUCAUUUCAGACAAAUAUCAUGCUUGGGUGAAUGCAGAAUUUUUACUGGAGAAGUGUCUGGUGGGUAUUGUGGAUGGGAGCCGGUGAAGACAACUAUUGUAUUACAUUUAGUAAUUGAUUCAUUGUUCUCAUUUUCCAUACUAAGCUAAUCGGCCUCUGUCAUUCAUCCUUUUAUAAUGUAAAAGUUUUUCAAUAAAUAGAUGUAUGAAAUGAGA
rnacentral:misc_RNA from 1 species